UUGCAUCAGCACAACCUGCUCCAGCGGAUGCUCUCACUGUAAAAACAUGGAAAAUAUUUACUCCCAUGUUUUCCUUCUCUCCCAGCCCAAUGCUCUACACGUCUGUGUUUCAACACACAAAAGGUUCCCCACGCCGCUGCGUCACUGCCUCACCUAGCAACACAGAUCAAACAAAUCUGGGAAAUUGGGAGUUCACCUUUAACUCCGGCUAAGAUUUUCUACGACCCAUAAUCCCGCCACCGCAACAAUAAGUGAUCAAAACAACUAGGUGUGUUAGUUGAAUGCUCCAAGAGUAUUUGGUUGUUGGUGAAAAUGGUCCAGAAUAUAUUGGGAACAUCUAUAGAGGAUAUUGGGGCUUGGUGAUCCGUAAGAUGGUCCAAACCAAAUUACAUUGUAAUAUAAUGUAAUUGUUUAGAAUAUAAAGCAAGUACUUUGUGUAAUUGUUUUAUGGAUUGUAAUAUAAUGUAAGAUAUGUAAUUUUUUUUAUGCA